AGUAUUAUGGCUGAAAUAUUAAGGCAAUAAAUUGUAAAUUUAUUUAUAAAAGUUAUUUUUUUAAUACUA
rnacentral:tRNA from 1 species